UACGGAAGGCAGCAGUGAGGAAUAUUGGACAAUGGGUGGAAGCCUGAUCCAGCCAUCCCGCGUGAAGGAAUAAGGGCCUAUGGCUUGUAAACUUCUUUUGUACAGGGAUAAACCUACCCUCGUGAGGGUAGCUGAAGGUACUGUACGAAUAAGCACCGGCUAACUCCGUGCCAGCAGCCGCGGUAAUACGGAGGGUGCAAGCGUUAUCCGGGAUUUAUUGGGUUUAAAGGGUCCGUAGGCGGGCUUAUAAGUCAGUGGUGAAAGCCGGCAGCUUAACUGUCGAACUGCCAUUGAUACUGUAAGUCUUGAGUAUAUUUUGAGGUAGCUGGAAUAAGUAGUGUAGCGGUGAAAUGCAUAGAUAUUACUUAGAACACCAAUUGCGAAGGCAGGUUACCAAGUUAUAAACUGACGCUGAUGGACGAAAGCGUGGGGAGCGAACAGGGAUUAGAUACC
rnacentral:rRNA from 1 species